CUAUUUUUCUUCAUCUACUCCAAGUUUCCAACCCAUCUUCCUCUGCCGGUCUGAUUUAUUUCAGACGUAUUGUUCUCAUUUACAGGUAUCAAAUUUAUUAUUCACAUGUUUGCUUUUACUUUCUUGUUAGUUUCAUUUGAUUUGAUGAUUUCCCCCCUUUUUUCUGUUCCUCUUAAAUCUGUUUUAAUUUUAAAAUGUCAUCUCAAAAAUAUGGAUCACUUGUUGCUUUUGCCUGAGAACUUGUAUCCUAAUAGGAAUUAGAUUAUCAUAUUUGCAACUAGUUUGUGAAAGAAAAUUUACCCUUAAAACUCAUGAAAUCAUAAUGGGUCUGCUAUAUAUAUAUAUAUAUAUAUAUAUAUAUAUAUAUAUAUAUAUGGAUGUCAGAUUUUUAGGGUUAGGGCUUUUGGCAACAGCUUAAUACUCCCUCACUUCCACAAAAAGAAUCUCAUUUGCCAAUUUUUUUAUUUCGUAAAAAGAGUUCCCUUUUAUUCAUAGUAGUAUAAAAUGACAUAAUAUUUUGAUGUAGUGGUUGAUAAAACUAUAUAAUAAGAGCUUAUUAAAAUAGAGGCCUCUAUAAAAUAGAGGCUCUUAUUAAAUAUAUUAAAAGUUGUUUGAUAACUAAUCUAUCUAUUUUACUCUUAGAUCAAUUUAUACAAACUUAGAGUGAAGGUAAUAAUAUAAUAAAUAUUGAAUAAUUAAUACAAAUAAAAUCAACAAGAGUGUAUAACUAAUAAAGUAUUUCAAGUCUAAUAAAAUAUUGGUGGUGGUGGAUGGUGGUGGUAGGUGGUUGUGGUGAAUGGUGGUGGUGAAGUGAAGAAUUAACAAAAAAAAAGAGUUAAGGUAGUGUUGAUCGAUUUCACAAUCAAUAUAUACGUGCAAGUAUACACGGUCAACAAGUAAUAAAGUGAAAGUAGAGUAUCGUUCCCACAAGUAAUUAUUAAUAACAAUUACCAAGUACUAACUCUUAACCAAACUAAUUUUAUUUAAAAAAUCCAUUUAAGGUUUUGAAUUAAGUUAUUUAAUUAAAUUAAUUCUAAUUACCACUAGUUAAAGAUCAGAUUAUGGAGAUUUAAGAUCACAACUUCACUUAUUGCUUCACUUAAAUUAAUACACUUCUUAUCAAUUAUGCUCACUAUUCUGAAUUGUUAAUCAAGAACACAUAAAUAAACAUGACCAUCUCUCAAUGUAUUAUACUUAAAUCAACUUAAAUCCAUAGAUUAUUGAAUUUAGAAGAAUAUCCUAAUUAACUAAUUCACUAUAUCUCUAUGUGAAUUAUAAUUAAAGAGGAUUUAAAGCACAAGUUCUUUAUCAGAUUACAUGCGGUAUAUAUGUAUAUUUCUAUCCUAGACACAAAUUAUGAAUUACAUCGCCAUGCAAAAAACACAAUCACAUGCUAUUAUGAUCAGAUCUAAAUCUAUAAUCCAUCUCUCGAGUUCAUUUAGAUUAUCACAGUAAUUGCUAGCUAGACAAUUAAACAAAUAAAUCCAAAUCACAAUAGACAAUUCCUAAAAUAGAUCACAAUAAUUAAUAAAGAAACAUACUAAAUAAGCUACGCAAGAAGCUCCGUUGUAAUCUUAAACAAAAGAAUUAGUUCAUAAUUAUUGAAUUAAAAUCAAAAAUUCACAACUGAAUAAACAUUAAAAGAUAAAAAUAAAGGUAAAGAAGAGAAUAUAAUUUGUUGUCAGCAAAUCUGAUGCUCCCUCUUGAUCUUUAAUGGUCUCCAAGUUGUUUCAAUCUCCAAUCCAAUCCCAACUAGGGUUUUGUCCUACUCUAAUCUAAUCUACUGGAAUGGAAUUCCCCCUAAUCCUUGUGAAUAGUCCUCCUUUUAUAUCCCUAUUCAUGUGUCUUUUAGUCCUCUUUAAAGUCCUACAAACAUUCAGCUCAAACAAAUCCUUUUUAGACUCAACUUCUGAAUAUUUUUCUUUCUUCCCGACAACUUCGUCCGGCGGAGUUUUUACACUAGGAAACUCCGCCCUGACAUUAAGCUCCAUUUUCAUGUUUUGACCCUCCGAAGCUGUUUCCUACAACACAAACACAAAAAUAAGUAAAAUGACACUAAAAAUACUUAAGGUUAACAAAGAAUUAAGCCUUAACGGUAAGUAUAAAACCCACUCAUCAUGUAGUAAGGGUAAAAGUGUAAUGAGAGCCUCUUUUUCUAAAAAGACUUGGUUCAUUGUCUUUUUUUUAAGAGCCAAAAAGAGGUUGAGUAAUUUUUUUAUCAAACAAGAUAGACUUUGAGCCAAUAAGAGGUUAGGUCAAAAAGAGGUAAAAGAGCUUAUCAAAACUACCUUGUCUAUCCUAAUUUCGUUAUCGUGUCACCACCACUAGACUAACAACUUAUUAAUUAACAAAAAUAUAUUUUUAAUAUUUGUAAAUUUUAUGAAUGUGACUCUUUUGUGGUACUUAGGGUGUAUUAAUCUUUACUGAUUCCAAUGUACUUCCCAUCUUUUUGUUACUCGAUUUCGCAAUCGAUAAAACACGCGCAAGCAUAUGCGGUCCACAAGUAAUAUAUGAUAAGUAGAGUGUCGUACCACGAGGACGAAGUCUUAGGUGCUAGUCAAGUAUUAAGGUAAGUUCUAUACUGUCUUAUCUAAACAAGUAAAAGGAGAUGUGUUUUAAGCUAUAUGAUUAAAACUGUAGAAAUAAGAGAUUUAGUUGGACAAGGAAGUCAAGUUAGGAUUACAAUUCCUCUAAUGCGUCGCCUAAUCUCCUAACUCUCCACAUUACAAACGAAUCAAGGAAUGGUCAAUCGAGAACAGUAACUACACAUAAGCUUCUUUCGAAGGUCAAAUGCACAUCCCUAGCUAGAUGAAUCACAAUAUUUCUAUGGUGAAAAUAACUAGACUAGAGUCAUUAAGCUUAGUCUCAAGGCUACACAAGGAAAAUAGAGAUAUGUCUAUCCUAUUAAGCAAUUUAUGCACACAUUCCCAUAGGCAUGGUCAUAACAAGUGUUCUUGUAUUUAAAGGUUAGAUAUUAAUAUCCAUUUUUCAAUAUCCAUUAAUAUCAAUAUCGAUUUCUUUGUCAAGCAAUCAAUCAAUAAGCAUGAAAUACAACAACCCAUUCCAAAAUGAUUCAUUAAUAUAAAUAGGAGAGAGAGUUAAUUAAACUAAACAAUAGGUUACAUUGCAAUCCUAAAAAUGGAAUUAGUUCAUAACCAUGGUACUAAUACACAUUUUUAAAGUAUUCAACGUGCUCAUUAAUACACAAAUAAAUGAAAGAUUUGGAAUAAGAAAACUCAUGUUGCGAAGUUUUCUGUCUCCAAGUCUUCUCUUCUCCGUGUAGAGUCUGAGCUGUGUAGGAUGUAAUGACUUUUUCUUCCUUGAAGAACAGCUUCUUUCUCUUUUAAACUAAUUAAAACUGAAAAACUUCUAUUCUACUCUCUGUAAUACUGAUGGCGGCUACUUUGUCUCGAGAUAAUCACUUCUCGUCUUUUAGGUCAUUAAUAUCAAGUCUCUGCCUGCCGCCUGGACACCGGAGGUGGCGCUGCGGCGCGAAGAGUUUAACUAGGGAUGGCACUGCAGCGCCACGUCAGCAUUAAAAACACCGGAGCUCGCGCUGCAGCGCCAGCUUACAAAGGAGUUGGGGCGCUGCAGCGCCAAGGUGACGUUAGCAUGGACCCGGAGGUCGCGCUGCAGCGCCAGGCUAAAGCUUGGAAUUGGCGCUGCAGUGCCCGUGUAUAAAACUUGACCCUUUUGCCCCUUUAAGCUGGAAAUGACCUAAUGAGCCGUGCAUCAUAGAGAUUAAGCAAAAUAACAACAAUAUAUAUAUAAAAGCUAAACAAAUAACGGAAAACAUGCAGCGUCUUAAGUCACAGAGGAUCUGAUUCACGAAUAUAAAUCUCACUCAUCACUUUUGCUGAAAAAGAUUACCUAACCUUUUUAUUUAAUUUGCAGUUAAUAACGCAUGCAUUCAAUCGCUACGUAAUGGAAUGAAUCCAAAGACCAGAACAGGGGAAAACAUUUCUGUUGCAAAAACAAGUUGUUUGUAAGCAAGGAAACUUGGAGAAAAAACAUUUGACCUAUUUUUCCUAGAAAAUGAUUUUCUUUUUAUAAGAUAAUUUCCAUUGAAAUAAACAGAGCCUAAAGAUGAAGGCUUAUCAAAAUCAUCCUGUGGUAGGAGCUUGAAUUCUAGAUAUAACAUAUGAUUUUAGAAUUAGGGUUACAAAUCGAAAGAUAAAUAUAGAUGUGCUCUAGUUUGGUUGGCUCUGUUUUAAUUAAAUCAUAAACUCAAUGUGCAUGUAAACUCAAGGUGCAAUACGGGCAUCUGCAUAUACAUGUAGGACUCAAUAUAUAAGGAAUUAACAAAGAUGUUGAGAUGAUGAACUGAAACUAGUAAACCAUUUUUAUACUUAAAGAAAGGAGCUCCAUUGACUCCAUAUACAAUAAAAGAGCUGAAACUAAGCUAGGAUACCACUGUUUACUAAGAUGGUAGCGUUUCACGGUUGCAUAAACUCAAGAGCUGGAAUGAAGAGAUGGAGACAAUAUAGCAGGUAAAUUGAUGACUCUAUGAUGCCUUGGUUGUUUUAUUUUGGAUGCUGAUUAUUUGUAGUGUAGUUCAAUUUAGAUUGAUUCAACCUCAUCUUUGUUUUGGCUGAAAAGAGAGUUCUCCAUGGAAGUACAAUAGAAAUGAGGUAAUUUUUUGAAUUGUCAUUAUUAGCUUGCUUAGCUAAUUUAUCAGCACUAGCUAUUUGCGUAAAUUUCUUACAUAGAUGCUGAUCUUAAACCGAGAUUGAUCAAAAUGCAUAAAAUUAAGCUUACAUCUUUAUUUGUUUUUAAUUCUUAAAGUUUUUUGUUGUCUUUUCUUUAUAAUUAUUCCUUCCGUCCCAAAAUUAGAGAUGUAUUUUCUUUUUCUGUCCAUUUUAAAAUUAGAGAUACAUUUUUAUUUUAGACCAUAAAGUGACAUGAAGGUCCUAACAUGCCAUUACUUUUAUUCUUAGUUGAUUGAAUACUAUCAUGCUACUACUAUUUCAAGUUGAUGUUUGGGAGAAGUUUUAAACAGAGAAACUACUUAUCUUACCAUCGAAGCUCAUGUAGAUCGCCUUCUGAUCACUUUUAAAUCUACUAUUAAGUAAUAAAUGUCAGUGUUAGUGUGUUUGAGGGGGGAGAGAGGGAGAGGCAAUUGGGAAAGAGAGUAAUAAUCAUGCAAGGAUACACAAAAAUGCAUUCAUUUAUUUUAUUUACGUUACCUUUUUACACAGUUGAAAUACUAGUAGCUAGUACUCCUUUUAACCAAAGAAACUAUUAAAAAACAUUUGAAAAUAACAGUAGAAAGGGAAAUUUAGUACAAAACAUAUGACAAAUUUACAGGUGACCGCUUGAACCAACCAUCUUGGUCAACCCGAAGGUUAGUGCCAUAGCCACCCAGCCUCCCAGCAGGACUCUAGCAGAAGGCAUAAUUGGCGGUGCGUUCCCUAAUGCAGCUCCAGCCCACCCAAACCCUGCCAGAGUAACACUCACUGCUGCAAUCACCACCUUGAUUCUCACCUCAUAGCUUGUUACAAAUGCUGCAGCUAGGAGUGGAACCAUUGCACCUAUGGUAAAUGCCAAAGCUGAUGCUGCAGCAGCUCGUGGCGGAUUUGGUAAGUUAUCUUUUCCGUGUUCCACUAAUUGCUCUCUCUCUCCUUCAAAUUCCCUUUCUCUCCGUCUCUCCCUUUGAGCCACUUCUAUGUCAAGUUGUGAGUGAACUGAGACAUAUUCUCCUAUGGCCAUGCUACAAGCUCCACCCACUAAACCGGAAAAUCCGAUUAAGAUCAUGGCCUCAACGUCCUGCUUCACGGCUCCAACCCCCAUCAUCAGUGACGCGGUGGAAACCAACCCAUCGCUGGCUCCUAGGACUGCAGCUUGUAUCGAUUGCG
rnacentral:lncRNA from 1 species